rnacentral:tRNA from 1 species
GGGGGUAUAGCUCAGUUGGUAGAGCACCUGCCUUGCACGCAGGGAGUCAGCGGUUCGAGGUCCGCUUACCUCCA